GAUGAACGCUAGCUACAGGCUUAACACAUGCAAGUCGAGGGGAAACGGCAUUAAGUGCUUGCACUUUUUGGACGUCGACCGGCGCACGGGUGAGUAACGCGUAUCCAACCUUCCCAUGACUAAGGGAUAACCUGCCGAAAGGCAGACUAAUACCUUAUGGUCUUCACUGACGGCAUCAGAUGUGAAGUAAAGAUUUAUCGGUUAUGGAUGGGGAUGCGUCUGAUUAGCUUGUUGGCGGGGUAACGGCCCACCAAGGCAACGAUCAGUAGGGGUUCUGAGAGGAAGGUCCCCCACAUUGGAACUGAGACACGGUCCAAACUCCUACGGGAGGCAGCAGUGAGGAAGAUUGGGCAAUGGGCGAGAGCCUGAACCAGCCAAGUAGCGUGCAGGAUGACGGCCCUAUGGGUUGUAAACUGCUUUUGUAUGGGGAUAAAGUCAAUCACGUGUGAUUGUUUGCAGGUACCAUACGAAUAAGGACCGGCUAAUUCCGUG
rnacentral:rRNA from 1 species